GUGUUGGACUGAAACACAGUUGCGGGGAGUUUGAAUGGAUUUUGAAUGGAGUUGUUGGGGAGUUGAGGAGUUAUGGGUGGAGAGAUUUAAGGAGGGAUAAGUGAUUUUAGGAGAAAAUCAAUGGAGGUGAGGGGAGAGGAGAGGUGUGCUGAAUGGGGACUUUGGUACUCAGGGAAUUCGGCUAGUGGGGUUAUGGCUCAUUUUGGGUGUUUUUCGUAUUUCAUUUUUGGGUAAUGUUUCCCUCGUUCUGCUUUGUGGUGCCGAAUUUUGCUAAAUUCUCGAGUAUCUCCUUUUGAUUACUUUUCUGCCUUCCUUUUUUACCUUCUUGGUUUCAACCGAACAAUAUUGUGGUUCUCUCUUUUGCCGAACUUCGUCUUUCUUUCUUUCAUUUUUAUCAGCUUUGAUUCUCUAUUCCUUUUUCUUUCUUCUUCUCUUCUCUCUCAAUCUGUGCCUCUUAGCCGUAUAACCUAUUUGUUUUC
rnacentral:lncRNA from 1 species